CCUGCCUAGAGCCUCGCCCCUCCCAGAAGGCCCCGCCUCUUCCCGCCGGAAGCCCCGCCACGAGAAAGUCCCGCCCUACCUGGAAGGCCCGCUCCCGCGUGAGGCCGCGAUGACGCAUGAGGUAGGCGGUGCAGACGGCGGCCGAGCGGCUGCGGCCGUUCUUGCAGUAGACGAGGCAGACACCACCGGCGCGUACCGCGGCCUCCAUGGCGGCACAGGUAGGCUCCAGGUCCAGACAUCACCUACGUAGAGGCCUUCUCGGCAUCCAUUUCCUUCUUCUGUGGCCUAAGGAAGGAUUCUGACUUUCCUGGGAUGGGAUUCCCAUUUUUCCCAGAGUUCACGGGAGCCAUCCAAGUAGGUGGAGAUUCCCUGUCCCCCAGCUCCAGAAUCGGGCUUCUGAUUACGUCCAGUCAGUGACGCCUGUACCCCCAUGACUGCUUCGGGAAAGGGCUUGGGCUGCCAUGUGAACCAGAGAGGAGAGAGGGGCUUGGAAACCUCUGUCCUCUCCUUAUGAGCACAAAGGGAAGCCAGCCUUGGUUGAGCACAGCUGAAGAAACGGUCCUCGAAGAUAUUGCUGGGCCACUGGAUCAAACCAAACCUGAAGAGCCUCCAGCUUCUGGACUGUUUGGUUUCCUGAGCCAUCCAAUCACCCUUUGCUGUUGGAUAUUUGAGUCGACACCACCUGCCCACCACACCAUGGCCCAGUGGUUUUCAAAGCGUGGUGGGAACUUGGUAGCAAUGCAAGUAGGAGUCCACCUACUCAGGACCUGCUGAAGCGGAAACCCUGGGAGUGAGACACAGGAAGCUGUGUGUUACCAUGCCCUCCGUGUGAUUCUGAUAAAAGAUAAAAACCUAACCAUCAUUUAGUUGAUCUAAAAAAUUCAUCCCGGAGGCCCCAGAGGGGGAAGAGGAGGAGCCCGAGGGUCCCCUUAGGGAGCAGGACCUGAAGGAGGCCUGCAUCGAGCUCACCCAGGGUGUGCAGGAGUGGCAGGACGGCUGCGUCUACCGAGGAGAGUUCAGCAGGACGUGAAGCUGGGAUGCGGAGCAUUCUCUCGGCCCACGGGCGAGGCAAGUCGUUCCUGGUGCUCUCCCCUCUCCGGCCCCGGUUCAGCCAGCCACGGCCUGUCCCUCUCCUCGGAGAGGCACGUGCUGUGAGCUCGUAGACCCACCGAUGGGAAGGAUGCUAGGCAAACGUCCUUCCUAUUUGAGAAACCCAGAGAGACUUCUGAGAUCACGUCCGAGGUUCACCUGGGUGUCCACAGGCUGCAGCUCGGGAAACUGUGACUUCAGAAGAUAAAUUCUUAUUCUAGGCAAAUAUUUUAAAAUUGCGAAUUACUGUCGUGAGUUGUAUAUUUGUAUUGAUGAAAUUGCCUUGUAUUUAAGCUCAAAUAGAAAAAGUGGAUCUUCCUAAAAGUGAAAGUGCACUUUUGCGCCCCUGCAGCAGGCGGUGUCAGGACCUCAGUGGGGACUCUGAGGGGCCCGUGGCAGGAGCUGUUGGCGCCACCUGGCGUCCCCGCGAGGGUGGAGCAGCUGUGCGUCUGGCGAACCUGGGGGUAUGCUGUGGCCUGGGGGCUUAGUGCGCCUCCCCCAGGGGGAAGCUGGCUUCUGAAGGCUUUCCAACAAUGUGUUGCAUCCCUGCCAGCUGCAGGUGCGCUGGUGGAGGAUUCUGCCCUGCUUGCAGGGUUGUGUGACUCAGUGGAGACUUAAGUGCAUCUUUUGCUUGCAGAUAAUAAACACCAUCUGGAGGCACUG